rnacentral:tmRNA from 1 species
GGGGGUGAAUUGAUUCGACAGGGAGACAAAAAUGAAGGUUGCUUUCCGCACAAGAGUCAAGCGUUGUUCUCUUAAAAUAUAACUGCCAACUAUCAAAUGCUACUGCUGUAGUCUAGUACUGCAGCCAUCAGAGCUGUGACUCCUGCUAACAGCCACUGGUGUCAUUAAGCAGGAUAAGCAAAUAAGAUAGUCCUGACUUGUUUGUCGAAAAUUAAGGGGCUUAGGCUACAAAAAAUUUUGUUUGAUUUUUAUUUUGUGGCUGAAAAACAAAUCAAACUAUUGAAAGUAGAAACCUUUAUCGAUGCUCUCUGGACGAGGGUUCGAUCCCUCCACCUCCAC